UCAUCUUCCCCCUUUUCAAAAAGCCCUAAAAAUAGAAAUCGAUCGCCGUUGGUCGCCGUCGCCCGUCGUGAAGCCGACGUCGCUGUCUCCAUCGACCUUUUAGCUACCCCGUCGCCUCGUUUUCGCCCAAUCGUCGCCUCGCUUCCUUCCUAGUCGUCGUCGUCGUUGAUCUCGUCAUCGAUCUCGCAGUCCCCUUGUCGCCGACGCAUCUCACAGUCGCUAUCCCAGUCAUCAUUCCAGUCGAACUCGCAACCCUUUCCGAUCGUCGCCCGCCGCGGUCCCAGUCAUCAUCGCUGUUUAUCUCGCCGUUGCCGUCGAUCUCGCCGUUUGAGGAUUUUUUUUAAACUUUUGCCGUGUGUUCAAACAAAGGGCAUACACAUAUGUAGUCCAUUGGGAACCAGAUGCAUCAAUGAAAAUAACCCGUCGAGUGUGGAUCGAAUGUUUAAGCCAAUAACGACUACUCGAUUCCAAGAACUUGAUAAGAUUAUUUUCCCACUCCUAACUUCAUUUCAUUGGCAUAUGUUGGUAUUCUCUGUAAAGGCUAUAAGAUUUCAUGUAAAGGCAUAUGUUGGUAUUCUCUGUAAAGGCUAGAAGAUUGCGGGGUGUUCUUGAUGGCAUACAUGUUUAGCCUCGUUUCCGGUCAACCAAUGUCAAUUAACCAAAAGGAUUGUGCAAGACAUAGAGCUCGUAUCGUUGCUCUAUUUCUACCUGAAGGAAAUCAACAUGAUCCUCAAGACCAAUUCCCCGGAUGUUAGAUGCUAAUUGUGAUAUCCAAUAUUUGUUUUGUAAAGUAUUUGUAUAAUUAUACUUUUGGGUCGUUGUAUAUAGUUUGUCAAAUGCAUUUGAAUUUGAAUGGCUGUUGUAGUGAGGUUUUUGAGUCUGCA